rnacentral:rRNA from 1 species
GAUGAACGCUGGCGGCGUGCUUAAUACAUGCAAGUCGAGCGAAGCACUUUAACGGAAUUCUCCGGAAGGAAGGUAAAGUGACUGAGCGGCGGACGGGUGAGUAACGCGUGGGUAACCUGCCUUAUACAGGGGGAUAACAGUUAGAAAUGACUGCUAAUACUCCAUACUCCUUCUUAACAUAAGUUAAGUCGGGAAAGUUUUUCGGUGUAGGAUGAGACUAUAUUGUAUCAGCUAGUUGGUGAGGUAAUGGCUCACCAAGGCUAUGACGCAUAACUGGUCUGAGAGGAUGAUCAGUCACACUGGAACUGAGACACGGUCCAG